GUUAACUUCAGCAGCACAUAACAUCAAAACUGGGACAAUACAGAGAAGAUUAGCAAGGCCUCUGGGUAAGGAUCACACAAAUUCGUGCUGCGUUCAAAACAAAC